rnacentral:lncRNA from 10 species
AAAAAAAUUUUUGUUAAUUACUCCUAAUUCGGUUGGUGUAAUACACAACACCUAGUUGGUGACGGGCAGCUCAGGCCACAGGGUCACUUGAUGUCCCAUGAACUAGGUGUUCCAUCUCGGUCAGGGCCCAGUGAAAUAGUUACUUGCAAAAGAGGACAUGGACCUGCCCAGAACCCUGGAGUUCUGCAUGGCCACAGUCCAGUUGGGACUUGCAGGAGGCUCUGAUACAGCAUCUGUACUGGCAGGAGAUAAUUUCAGUAUCACUGGAUCUCCCCAGCCAUAAAGCCCAGGUGGCAGCACAGAGCUAAAUUUUUAAUAAGAGUCAUACCACACAGAAAGAUUUUCAUCAGUAAAGCUUUCCCCUGGAGUAAACUGUUACUCCAUGAAGCCAGAUUAAUUCCUUGAUCAAUUUUCUAUACAGGGCAAUUAAAUUGCUUCUAAGUUUUAUAUUUUCAUUUUAAUUUUUACUUAAAUACUUUCAUUAAGAUCAUGGUUUUCCUAGAAUCUUUCUGAACUUACUCUGAUUCAGAGGACUGCCCAAUUAAAAAAAAAAAAAGACUGGGGCCGGGCGUGGUGGCUCACGCCUGUAAUCCCAGCACUUUGGGAAGGCAAGGUGGGCAGAUCACCUGAGGUCAGGAGUUCGAGACAAGCCCAGCCAAUAUGGUGAAACCCCGUCUCUACUAAAAUACAAAAAUGAGCCAGGCAUGGCGGCAGGUGCCUGUAAUUCCAGCUACUCAGGAGGCAGAGGCAGGAGAAUCACUUGAACCCGGGAGGUGGAGGUUGUAGUGAGCCAAGAUCACGCCACUGCACUCCAACCUGGGCAACAGAGUGAGACUCUGUCUCAAAAACAAAUAAAUAAAUAAAAAUAAAAUAUCGGCCAGAUGUGGUAGCUCAUUUGUGUAAUCCCAGCCCUUUGGGAGGCCGGGGCAGGUGGAUCGUAUUCGAGGCUGCAGGGAGCUAUGAUUGUGCCACUGUACUCCAGCCUGGGCAACAGAGUGAGAAACCCUGUCUCAAAAAAAGAAAAAAAUAUAUGCUUGGCCAGGAGAGGUGGCUCAUACCUAUAAACCCAGGUACUUGGGAGGCUGAGGUGAAAGGAUUGCUUGAGCCUGGAAGGUCAAGGCUUGCUUGCUUGCUUGCUUGCUUGCCUGCCUGCCUGCCUGCCUGCCUUCCUUCUUUCUUUCUUUCGAGGCUGAGGUAAAAGGAUUGCUUGAGCCUGGGUGGUUGAGGCCUUUCUUUCUUUCUUUCUUUCUUUCUUUCUUUCUUUCUUUCUUCUUUCUUCCUUCCUUUCUUUCUUUCUGUUUCUUUCUUUCUUUCUUUCUCUUUCUUUCUUUCUCUCUUUCUUUCUUUCCUUCUCUCUCUUUCUCUCUUUUUUUUUUGAUGGAGUCUUGCUCUGUUGCCCAGGCUGGAGUGCAGUGGCACCAUCUUGGCCCAUUGCAACCUCCACCUCCAAGGUUCAAGCGAUUCCCCUGCCUCAGCCUCCCGAGGUAGCUGGGAUUACAAGCGCCCGCCACCACACCCGGCUAAUUUUUGUAUUUUUAGUAGAGACGGGUUUUUGCCAUGUGGGCCAGGCUGGUCUCAAACUCCUGACCUUAGGUGAUCCACCUGCCUCGGCUUCCCAAAGUGCUGGGAUUACAGGCCUGAGCCACUGUGCCCAGCCGUGUGAGGGUAUUUUCAACCGUCCGUCUGUCAGCUCUUAGGACACAUUCCCAGAAGAAUAGAAAGAUAGUUUAUGUAGAAAUACAUGUGAAGUGUCAUUAGUGGAAAAAAAAUUUUUUUAAACAAAGUAUGUAACCAUAUUUAGCUGUAUAAGAGAAAUUUAUUUGUGCACACAGUAUAAAGUUAAUUUUUCUUUUUUUUUGAGACAGAGUUUCACACUUGUUGCCCAGGCUGGAGUGCAAUGGCACUAUCUCGGCUCACUGCAACCUCCACAUCCUGGGUUCAAGUGAUUCUCCUGCCUCAGCCUCCUGAGUACCUUGGAUACAGACAUGUGCCACCAUGCCUGCCUAAUUUUGUAUUUUUAGUAGAGACAGGGUUUCACCAUGUUGGUCAGGCUGGUCUCGAACACCUAACCUCAUGUGAUCGCCCACCUUGGCCUCCCAACGUGCUGGGAUUACAGGCCUGAGCCAUCGCAUCCAGCCUAAAGUUAAUUUUUUCAAGGAUUUAAAUACAUCUUUUGUAAGGUUUUUAAAAUAAAGGCAGAUUGAGUCAAGUUUAUUGAAACUUUACAUGGAGGGAAAGAAUAUGCUAAUUUGACAUUUUAGAGAAGUUUAAAUGCAAGCGUUUGUUGUCCCAGCUUAGAGAUUGGUGGGUGAGGUCUGUGUGUGUCAUUUUCAUGUUCCAAAACGGUGAGCUUUAUCUUAUGUUAUUUUUGGUGGAUGUUGACUUAGUUCAUGAAUGUUGUCACUUCUAAAUGUGGACAGUUGGGCUGGAAGAUAACACAGCCUCUUCCGGAGCCGGUCACCAGGGUCAUGUUGUGGCAUAAAAAGUACUAGUGAGUUAAAUAAGGAUUCAGAAUUGUAUGUAUGAAACCUCUAUCAACAUAUCAAAAUCCAAGCGCAUCACUUUAGGUUGUGUGACUCUCCCCCUUUCCUCCAUUUUCCUUUCUCCUGCCUCAACUUCCCAAGUAGCUGGGAUUACAGGCACCUGCCACUUCGCCCAGCUAAUUUUUGUAUUUUUUGUAGAGACGGGGUUUCACCAUGUUGGCCAGGCUAAUUUUGAACUCCUGACCUCAGGUGAUCUGCCUGCCUCAGCCUCCCAAAGUGCUGGGAUUACAGGCGUGAGCACUGGUGCCAGGUCGCCUCCAUUUUCAAAUUGUGUUUAAGGCUGGGAGCCGUGAUUCACACCCGUAAUCCCAGCAUUUUGGAAGGCCGAGGCAGGCAGAUCAUUCGAGGCCAGGAGUUCAAGACGAGUCUGGCCAACAUGGUGAAACCCCGUCUCUACUAAAAUAUACCAAAAAAAAUAAAAUUAGCCAGACGUGGUGCCGCACGCUUGUAAUCACAGCUACUCAAGUAGCUGAGGCAUGAGAAUCAAGAAUCGCUUGAUCCGGGAGGCAGAGGUUGAAGUGAGCCAAGACUGCACCACUGCACUCCAGCCUGGGCAACAGAGUGAGACUCUGUCUCAAAAAAAAAAAAACCAAAUUGUGUUUAAUAUACUGUAUAUAUAUAUAUAUACAUAUUUAUUUAUUUAUUUAUUUAUUUAUUUAUUUAUUUAUUUAUUUUGAGUCUCUGGAUGGCAGUAACUCAGUCUCAGCUCACUGUAACCUCCACCUGUCAGGUUCAAGCAAUCCUCCUGCCUCAGCCUCCCAAUUAGCUGGGAUUACAAGCAUGCACCACCACGCCCGGCCUAUAUAUAUAUAUACUUUUUUUUUUUUGAGAUGGAGUCUUGCUCUGUCGCCCAGGCUGGUGUGCAAUGGGGUGAUCUUGGCUCACUGCAACCUCUGCCUCCCAGGUUCAAGCUAUUCUCCUGCCUCAGCCUCCUGAGUACCUGGGAUUACAGGCGCGCGCCACCACACCCAGCUAAUUUUUGUAUUUUUAGUAGAGACGGGGUUUCACCGUGUUGGCCAGGAUGGUCUCGAUCUCCUGACCUCAAGUGAUCUGCCCCCCUGGGCCUCUCAAAGUGCUGGGAUUUACAGGCGUGAGCCACCUCACCCGGCUGACACUUUUUUCAUUGCAAGAUUUUGUAGCCUCAGCUACUCAGGAGGCUGAGGUGGGAAGAUGGCUUAAGCUGGGAAUAUGGCUUCAGCCAGGGAGGCAGACAGAGGUUGCAGUGAGCUGAGAUUGCACCACUGUGCUCCAGCCUGGGGGACAAAGCGAGACACUGCCUUAAAAAAAAAAAAAAGACUUUGUCAGUGAAGGAAGGACUACAUUGAUUUACAACCUGGCAUGAGCUUCUUAUGUUGCUAAGAGCCAGCAGUGGUUCAUGGACAGCACUUGGAAUUGCACUGUUGUGUAAUAUAACAAUGAAAAUCCCCGUUGCUGGGAUAGGUGGAGACUAAAGGCUUAUGUGGGACUUGGGCCUGGCAGCACUGCCGCAGGGCGCCCACACGGCUGUAUACCUGCUAUGCCCCUUCUGGCCCUGCUGCCUCCUGAGCUCUCCAAGGCCCUUUCCUGUGGCCUGAAACCCUAUGAUCAUCACUGUUAGGAGCAAAUAACCUGAUUCCUUCGAAUUAGAGACAGGCUCUCAGGGAGUGGGAGCAGCCCUCCAAGCAGAGGGCUAGGCCGUGGGCCAUCCAGCACUGCACCCUCAUUCUCAUUAAGCUGAGCAGAAGAAUGAAUGAGGGAUGUCUCUUCUGGGCUCGGACAUGGGCCUGUUUGCAGUAGGGCUUCUCUGAGGCCACCUCUCUGAAUCAGGGGCCCCUCCUCCUCUCCCCCAACACCUUACCCCAGGUCGAGGUUCAAAAGGUCCAGGACACUGUGGGGAAGCAGAUGCUGAUCAUCGCUGCUGACGGCCAAAAGCACCAGGGUCGGGUGGCCUUUCUCUCAGUAAGGUUGGCCCACCCCACCCCAGGCCCAGGCUUCCCCAGUGCCCUGCAUCAGGCUGCAGGGACCUCCCAGGACUCUGAGUGGAUGGCAUGGGACCAGGCAGUCAGGGACAGGAUGCCUAGGUGGGCUCCGGGCUGUGACAGUGGUGGUGCUGGAGUGGAGCUCACGGACGCCUCUCUACACACCCCACAACCUCCAGGAACUGAUCCAGACAAUGCGAGGUGAGGCGAACACCCACUUCUCGGAGAUCAUCAGGAGGUCAAACAGCUGCAGAUGCAGAUCUUGGAUUUCGUGGAGAAAGAGGAAGCAGCCGCCCUGGGGAUGCUGAGCAGCUCCAUCCAGCAGAGCCACAACCGGCUCCUGAAGCUGGAAGGAGACAGCGUCUGGCUCCACACCCUGCUCAUCAACCAGAGUGACCAGC